rnacentral:rRNA from 1 species
UACAGAGGUCUCAACCGUUGUUCGGAUUCAUUGGGCGUAAAGGGUGCGUAGGCGGUCGUGCAAGUCGGAUGUGAAAUCUCAGGGCUCAACCCUGAAACUGCAUUCGAUACUGCGCGGCUAGAGUGCUGGAGGGGAGACUGGAAUUUACGGUGUAGCAGUGAAAUGCGUAGAGAUUUGGAGGAACACCAGUGGCGAAGGCGACUUUCUGGUCUGUAACUGACACUGAGGCGCGAAAGCGUGGGGAGCAAACAGG